AAAUUGAAGAGUUUGAUCAUGGCUCAGAUUGAACGCUGGCGGCAGGCCUAACACAUGCAAGUCGAGCGGAAACGAGUUAUCUGAACCUUCGGGGAACGAUAACGGCGUCGAGCGGCGGACGGGUGAGUAAUGCCUAGGAAAUUGCCCUGAUGUGGGGGAUAACCAUUGGAAACGAUGGCUAAUACCGCAUAACGCCUACGGGCCAAAGAGGGGGACCUUCGGGCCUCUCGCGUCAGGAUAUGCCUAGGUGGGAUUAGCUAGUUGGUGAGGUAAGGGCUCACCAAGGCGACGAUCCCUAGCUGGUCUGAGAGGAUGAUCAGCCACACUGGAACUGAGACACGGUCCAGACUCCUACGGGAGGCAGCAGUGGGGAAUAUUGCACAAUGGGCGCAAGCCUGAUGCAGCCAUGCCGCGUGUGUGAAGAAGGCCUUCGGGUUGUAAAGCACUUUCAGUCGUGAGGAAGGUAGUGUAGUUAAUAGCUGCAUUAUUUGACGUUAGCGACAGAAGAAGCACCGGCUAACUCCGUGCCAGCAGCCGCGGUAAUACGGAGGGUGCGAGCGUUAAUCGGAAUUACUGGGCGUAAAGCGCAUGCAGGUGGUUUGUUAAGUCAGAUGUGAAAGCCCGGGGCUCAACCUCGGAAUAGCAUUUGAAACUGGCAGACUAGAGUACUGUAGAGGGGGGUAGAAUUUCAGGUGUAGCGGUGAAAUGCGUAGAGAUCUGAAGGAAUACCGGUGGCGAAGGCGGCCCCCUGGACAGAUACUGACACUCAGAUGCGAAAGCGUGGGGAGCAAACAGGAUUAGAUACCCUGGUAGUCCACGCCGUAAACGAUGUCUACUUGGAGGUUGUGGCCUUGAGCCGUGGCUUUCGGAGCUAACGCGUUAAGUAGACCGCCUGGGGAGUACGGUCGCAAGAUUAAAACUCAAAUGAAUUGACGGGGGCCCGCACAAGCGGUGGAGCAUGUGGUUUAAUUCGAUGCAACGCGAAGAACCUUACCUACUCUUGACAUCCAGAGAACUUUUCAGAGAUGAAUUGGUGCCUUCGGGAACUCUGAGACAGGUGCUGCAUGGCUGUCGUCAGCUCGUGUUGUGAAAUGUUGGGUUAAGUCCCGCAACGAGCGCAACCCUUAUCCUUGUUUGCCAGCGAGUAAUGUCGGGAACUCCAGGGAGACUGCCGGUGAUAAACCGGAGGAAGGUGGGGACGACGUCAAGUCAUCAUGGCCCUUACGAGUAGGGCUACACACGUGCUACAAUGGCGCAUACAGAGGGCAGCCAACUUGCGAAAGUGAGCGAAUCCCAAAAAGUGCGUCGUAGUCCGGAUUGGAGUCUGCAACUCGACUCCAUGAAGUCGGAAUCGCUAGUAAUCGUGGAUCAGAAUGCCACGGUGAAUACGUUCCCGGGCCUUGUACACACCGCCCGUCACACCAUGGGAGUGGGCUGCAAAAGAAGUAGGUAGUUUAACCUUCGGGAGGACGCUUACCACUUUGUGGUUCAUGACUGGGGUGAAGUCGUAACAAGGUAGCGCUAGGGGAACCUGGCGCUGGAUCACCUCCUUAUACGAUGAU
rnacentral:rRNA from 1 species